AGUGAACGCUGGCGGUAGGCCUAACACAUGCAAGUCGAACGGCAGCACAGUAAGAGCUUGCUCUUACGGGUGGCGAGUGGCGGACGGGUGAGGAAUACAUCGGAAUCUACUUUUUCGUGGGGAUAACGCAGGGAAACUUAAGGUAAUACCGCAUACGACCUACGGGUGAAAGCAGGGGGUCUUCGGACCCUGCGCGAUUGAAUGAGCCGAUGUCGGAUUAGAUAGUUGGCGGGGUAAAGGCCCACCAAGGCGACGAUCCGUAGCUGGUCUGAGAGGAUGAUCAGCCACACUAGAACUGAGACACGGUCCAGACUCCUACGGGAGGCAGCAGUGGGGAAUAUUGGACAAUGGGCGCAAGCCUGAUCCAGCCAUACCGCGUGGGUGAAGAAGGCCUUCGGGUUGUAAAGCCCUUUUGUUGGGAAAGAAAAGCAGCAGGUUAAAACCCCGCUGUUCUGACGGUACCCAAAGAAUAAGCACCGGCUAACUUCGUG
rnacentral:rRNA from 1 species